AACGAACGCUGGCGGCGUGGCUAAGACAUGCAAGUCGAACGGACUGUUCAAUUUAUUGUUCAGUUAGUGGCGAAAGGGUUAGUAACGGGUAGGUAACGUACCCUGUGCUUUGGGAUAGCGUCAGUUACUUCGGUAACUUUCCGAAAGGGGCGGUAAUACCAAAUAAUAUCAUUUGUCGAUAGGCGAAUGAUCAAAGAUUUAUCGGCACGGGAGCGGCCUGCCUCCUAUCAGCUUGUUGGUGGGGUAACGGCUCACCAAGGCAACGACGGGUAGCGGGACUGAGAGGUUGGCCCGCAACAUCGGGACUGAGACACUGCCCGGACCUCCACGGAGGGCUGCAGUAACGAAUAUUGUGCAAUGGGCGAAAGCCUGACACAGCGACGCCGCGUGUAGGAUGAAGUCUUUCGGGAUGUAAACUACUGUCAGGGGGAAGAAAGUGCGCUCCGGCGUAUUGAUCUAACCCAGAGGAAGUCACGCUAACU
rnacentral:rRNA from 1 species